rnacentral:rRNA from 1 species
UACGGAGGGUGCAAGCGUUAAUCGGAAUUACUGGGCGUAAAGCGUGCGCAGGCGGUUUGUUAAGUCUGUUGUGAAAUCCCCGAGCUCAACUUGGGAAUUGCAAUGGAUACUGGCAGGCUCGAGUAUGGUAGAGGAAGGUGGAAUUCCCGGUGUAGCAGUGAAAUGCGCAGAUAUCGGGAGGAACACCGGUGGCGAAGGCGGUUCUCUGGGCCUUACCUGACGCUGAGGAGCGAAAGCGUGGGGAGCGAACAGG